AAGUCGCUCUGGAUAAGAGCGUCUGUAAAAUGUAGGUACAUUUUAAUUGUCUCUCUUGCUGAUAAAAAAAUCGAUAUUAUCAGUGUAAAACAAUAUUAUUUUUAAAAAAACUAGCAAGAUAGUGAUAUAUUUUCUUUGUGGCUCAGUAAACAGUGACAGAGUUCGCGUUGAAAUAAAUGCUGUGAUGACUUCAGUCCUCGGAAGCAGUUUGCUGGAGUCUUCCAGGAUCUCGUCGCUUUUCAAUGUCCAGCGGCCACAAACCUAUCCAGAGGUUUCAUCCCAGUACACCCGGGAGGGAUGAUGCAGUCUGAGCGAAUGCCAGAGAAAGAUAAGAUGGAGAAAGAAAUAGAGAAUGAGAAAGAGAGAGAGAGAUGCAGACCCCCAAGUACAAAAUAAGCCUAUAGACAAUGUGUUACCUGCCCACUAGGUAAUGAACCUUCAGUGGCACCAGCAAGGUUUGUGUGCUGAUCUAGCUGCAACGUGGAGGAGGUUGUAAGUGGACAAGAGUUCAGACUAGCAGAAACUCUCAAAGCUGGCCCUGGAUUCACCCUGCAUCAGUGGUACAUUUAAACAGUGUUAUCAACCCGAACACUAAAAUGGUCCAUGCUACCGCGCCAUGAAUGUCCUUAUCCACGUGUAACAUUUCAAGAAAACGUGUGAAGACGGGAAUAUUAACUGCGCUGCUUGGAUAUGACUACAUCUUAGUCCUAAAGCUUUAUGAAAUAUCAGCGCUCUUGUCAGAGAGGUUGAAUGGGACAAAGCUAAAUGAAAGGUGUCCAUUAAUCAUUAAUUGUACUAAAAGCCUGGCCCUUUGUAUUCCCCUUGGUGCCUGGGUUAUCUGGCGGCCAUGUGACAUGCUGCGCCUUUUCCUAGUAGAUUGGGGAAAGCCAGUGAGCAAACACAGGUGUUUUGGAGUCAGUGGCGCUCACUGUCAAGGACAACCGCAAACACGAGCAGUAAUGCCUGAUCCAAUGAGACACAGUGUUUGCCUGCUGCUUCCUGGUGAUCCAACAUUUCAUGUCCAACUGGAUCUGCCGACUGCCCCCCACAUUCGUAACUAUCCACACUGUGCAUUCGAAUGCGUGAAGGAAAAAAAGAGAAAAGAGAAAUUGGAAAAGAGCAGGGGAGCAGGCACAGGCAUGCUGUCUUUUGAAAUGGGAGCUCGAUGGGGGUGAGCAAACUAAUUUAUGGUGUAAAAGCCCUCACUUUGGAAAACAAUACAAAUGUAUUCUUCUCAAGUGGGGCUAUAUCCGUGAUCCCUUGUGGCAAAUGAAUGAAGCAGUCACCAGAGCCACCCACAUGGUUUGGAAGGCUCGAUAGUGUAAAACAAACAUUGCUCACAGGUCAAUACAAAUACAUAAACACUGCCUUCAGAAAGUAUUCACACCACUUGACAUUUUGUUGUGUUACAGCCUGAAUUUAAAAUUGAUAAAAUUU